rnacentral:rRNA from 1 species
AAGACUUGGCGGUGCCCUAUACCACCUAGAGGAGCCUGUUCUAUAAUCGAUAAUCCCCGAUUUACCUCACCAUCUCUUGCCAACACCGUCUGUAUACCUCCGUCGCCAACUGACCCCUUAAGGGCAAUAGUCGGUUAAAUGGCCUACCCCCAGUAAGUCAGGUCAAGGUGCAGCGAAUGAGAUGGGAAGCAAUGGGCUACAUUUUCUAUUUUUAGAUUACACGAAAGAUCACUAUGAAACCUGAUCGGAAGGCGGAUUUAGCAGUAAAAAGAGACUAGAGAGCUCUUUUUAAGCUGGCUCUAGGGCGCGCACACACCGCCCGUCGCCCUCUUCGACUCCAUUUUUAAUAGCUUUAUAACCUCCUACCCCGGAGACAAGAAGAGGUAAGUCGUAACAUGGUAAGCCCACCGGAAGGUGGGCUUGG